GAGGGUAGAGCUCAGUGAUAGAGCACAUAUCUAGCACUCACAAGGUCCUGGGUUCAAUCCCCAGUACCGCCA
rnacentral:tRNA from 1 species